AGCGAACGUUUGCGGCGGGCUUAACACAUGCAAGUCGAACGAGAAUCCCUUCGGGGAGGAAAGUGGCGCACGGGUGCGUAACACGUGGAUAACCAACCCAUUGGUUUGGGACAACACCGGGAAACUGGGUGCUAAUACCAGAUGUGUCGCAGCUGUCUUCAGGCGGUUGCGAGAAAGGGCCCGCAAGGGUCGCCAACGGACGGGUCCGCGUCCCAUCAGCUAGUUGGUGAGGUAAUGGCUCACCAAGGCAAAGACGGGUAGCUGGUCUGAGAGGAUGAUCAGCCACACUGGAACUGAGACACGGUCCAGACUCCUACGGGAGGCAGCAGUGGGGAAUAUUGCGCAAUGGGCGAAAGCCUGACGCAGCCACGCCGCGUGAGCGAUGAAGGUCUUCGGAUCGUAAAGCUCUGUGGGGGGAGAAGAAGAAAGCCGGUGAAGAGCCGGCCCUGACGGUAUCCCCUUAGCAAGCACCGGCUAACUCCGUGCCAGCAGCCGCGGU
rnacentral:rRNA from 1 species